CUUGCCCCUAGAGGCGUUGCAGACAUGACCUUGGUUUCAUGUCUGUGUCAUUAGGCGGCAUAGAUUAAGGCGGCUGCGUCUACGCUCGGUGCCCGCUGUGUGGGUACUAAGAAUGAUUUCCAGCCGGAUAUU